CUGCUAUCGGGAUAGGACUAAGACAUGCUAGUCGCGUGCUUCAGCCAAUAAGAGGCACGGCAUACAGCUCAGUAACACGUGGCUAACCUGCCCUUGGGAUAGGAAUACCCCCGGGAAACUGGGACUAAUUCCCAAUAGGUGAAGAACUCUGGAAUGAGUCUCCACCCGAAAAGAGCCUGCGUUAUGCUCGUAGGUUUCGCCCAAGGAUGGGGCCGCGACCGAUCAGGUUGUUGGUGAGGUAAUGGCUCACCAAGCCUUUUACCGGUGCGGGCCGUGAGAGCGGGAGCCCGGAGAUGGGCACUGAGACAAGGGCCCAGGCCCUACGGGGCGCAGCAGUCGCGAAAACUUUGCAAUACACGAAAGUGUGACAGGGCUAUCCCGAGUGCCAUCCGCUGAGGAAGGCUUUUACCCAGUCUAGAAAGCUGGGAGAAUAAGGAGAGGGCAAGUCUGGUGUCAGCCGCCGCGGUAAUACCAGCUCUCCGAGUGGUGUGGAUGUUUAUUGGGCCUAAAGCAUCCGUAGCUGGCUAGGUUAGUCCCCUGUUAAAUCCACCGAAUUAAUCGUUGGAUCGCGGGGGAUACUGCUUGGCUAGGGGACGAGAGAGGCAGACGGUAUUUUCGGGGUAGGGGUGAAAUCCUAUAAUCCCGGGAAGACCACCAGUGGCGAAGGCUGUCUGCUAGAACGCGCCCGACGGUGAGGGAUGAAAGCUGGGGGAGCGAACCGGAUUAGAUACCCGGGUAGUCCCAGCUGUAAACGAUGCAGGCUAGGUGUUUGGACGGCCACGUGCCGUUCUAGUGCCGCAGGGAAGCUGUUAAGCCUGCCGCCUGGGGAGUACGAUCGCAAGAUCGAAACUUAAAGGAAUUGGCGGGGGAGCGCCACAAGGGGUGAAGCUC
rnacentral:rRNA from 1 species